UACAGAGGGGGCAAGCGUUGUUCGGAAUUACUGGGCGUAGAGGGCUCGUAGGCGGCCAACUAAGUCCGACGUGAAAUCCCAAGGCUUAACCUUGGAACUGCGUCGGAUACUGGAUGGCUUGAAUUCGGGAGAGGGAUGCAGAAUUCCAGGUGUAGCGGUGAAAUGCGUAGAUAUCUGGAGGAAUACCGGUGGCGAAGGCGGCAUCCUGGACCGACAUUGACGCUGAGUGAGCGAAAGCUAGGGGAGCAAACGGG
rnacentral:rRNA from 1 species